UGGGCGUUAAGUUGCAGGGUAUAGACCCGAAACCCGGUGAUCUAGCCAUGGGCAGGUUGAAGGUUGGGUAACACUAACUGGAGGACCGAACCGACUAAUGUUGAAAAAUUAGCGGAUGACUUGUGGCUGGGGGUGAAAGGCCAAUCAAACCGGGAGAUAGCUGGUUCUCCCCGAAAGCUAUUUAGGUAGCGCCUCGUGAAUUCAUCUCCGGGGGUAGAGCACUGUUUCGGCAAGGGGGUCAUCCCGACUUACCAACCCGAUGCAAACUGCGAAUACCGGAGAAUGUUAUCACGGGAGACACACGGCGGGUGCUAACGUCCGUCGUGAAGAGGGAAACAACCCAGACCGCCAGCUAAGGUCCCAAAGUCAUGGUUAAGUGGGAAACGAUGUGGGAAGGCCCAGACAGCCAGGAUGUUGGCUUAGAAGCAGCCAUCAUUUAAAGAAAGCGUAAUAGCUCACUGGUCGAGUCGGCCUGCGCGGAAGAUGUAACGGGGCUAAACCAUGCACCGAAGCUGCGGCAGCGACACUAUGUGUUGUUGGGUAGGGGAGCGUUCUGUAAGCCUGUGAAGGUGUACUGUGAGGUAUGCUGGAGGUAUCAGAAGUGCGAAUGCUGACAUAAGUAACGAUAAAGCGGGUGAAAAGCCCGCUCGCCGGAAGACCAAGGGUUCCUGUCCAACGUUAAUCGGGGCAGGGUGAGUCGACCCCUAAGGCGAGGCCGAAAGGCGUAGUCGAUGGGAAACAGGUUAAUAUUCCUGUACUUGGUGUUACUGCGAAGGGGGGACGGAGAAGGCUAUGUUGGCCGGGCGACGGUUGUCCCGGUUUAAGCGUGUAGGCUGGUUUUCCAGGCAAAUCCGGAAAAUCAAGGCUGAGGCGUGAUGACGAGGCACUACGGUGCUGAAGCAACAAAUGCCCUGCUUCCAGGAAAAGCCUCUAAGCAUCAGGUAACAUCAAAUCGUACCCCAAACCGACACAGGUGGUCAGGUAGAGAAUACCAAGGCGCUUGAGAGAACUCGGGUGAAGGAACUAGGCAAAAUGGUGCCGUAACUUCGGGAGAAGGCACGCUGAUAUGUAGGUGAAGCGACUUGCUCGUGGAGCUGAAAUCAGUCGAAGAUACCAGCUGGCUGCAACUGUUUAUUAAAAACACAGCACUGUGCAAACACGAAAGUGGACGUAUACGGUGUGACGCCUGCCCGGUGCCGGAAGGUUAAUUGAUGGGGUUAGCGGUAACGCGAAGCUCUUGAUCGAAGCCCCGGUAAACGGCGGCCGUAACUAUAACGGUCCUAAGGUAGCGAAAUUCCUUGUCGGGUAAGUUCCGACCUGCACGAAUGGCGUAAUGAUGGCCAGGCUGUCUCCACCCGAGACUCAGUGAAAUUGAACUCGCUGUGAAGAUGCAGUGUACCCGCGGCAAGACGGAAAGACCCCGUGAACCUUUACUAUAGCUUGACACUGAACAUUGAGCCUUGAUGUGUAGGAUAGGUGGGAGGCUUUGAAGUGUGGACGCCAGUCUGCAUGGAGCCGACCUUGAAAUACCACCCUUUAAUGUUUGAUGUUCUAACGUUGGCCCGUUAUCCGGGUUGCGGACAGUGUCUGGUGGGUAGUUUGACUGGGGCGGUCUCCUCCUAAAGAGUAACGGAGGAGCACGAAGGUUGGCUAAUCCUGGUCGGACAUCAGGAGGUUAGUGCAAUGGCAUAAGCCAGCUUGACUGCGAGCGUGACGGCGCGAGCAGGUGCGAAAGCAGGUCAUAGUGAUCCGGUGGUUCUGAAUGGAAGGGCCAUCGCUCAACGGAUAAAAGGUACUCCGGGGAUAACAGGCUGAUACCGCCCAAGAGUUCAUAUCGACGGCGGUGUUUGGCACCUCGAUGUCGGCUCAUCACAUCCUGGGGCUGAAGUAGGUCCCAAGGGUAUGGCUGUUCGCCAUUUAAAGUGGUACGCGAGCUGGGUUUAGAACGUCGUGAGACAGUUCGGUCCCUAUCUGCCGUGGGCGCUGGAGAACUGAGGGGGGCUGCUCCUAGUACGAGAGGACCGGAGUGGACGCAUCACUGGUGUUCGGGUUGUCAUGCCAAUGGCACUGCCCGGUAGCUAAAUGCGGAAGAGAUAAGUGCUGAAAGCAUCUAAGCACGAAACUUGCCCCGAGAUGAGUUCUCCCUGACUCCCUGAGAGUCCUGAAGGAACGUUGAAGACGACGACGUUGAUAGGCCGGGUGUGUAAGCGCAGCGAUGCGUUGAGCUAACCGGUACUAAUGAACCGUGAGGCUUAACCUU
rnacentral:rRNA from 1 species